CCUGGUAGAAAGAGGAACCAGAAAAUGAGAGAGACAAGUAGGAAAUGUCAGGGGUGCGUACUCUUGAUUGGAAAUGGGGUUCAGAGAGAAUUUUGAGGAUUUCUGAAAUUUGCCACUUUGGCACGGAGAUUACUUUGAGCUGAAGGCAGCUGAGAAACAGCAGGUGCAAAGGGAAAGAAAGCUCUUUAACCUUCCCCUUUCUGUCUAAAUGUGACAUGUGAAGUGUUUCCCUCUCACAUAACCAGGAAGAGGAAGGGGAGUCUUUUUUUAAGAUUUUAUUUAUUUAUUUGACAGAGAGAGAGAGAUCACAAGCAAGCAGAGAGGCAGGCGGGGGAGGCGGGGGGAAGCAGGCUCCCCGCGGAGCAGAGAGCCUGAUACGGGACUCGAUCCCAGGACCCUGAGAUCAUGAUCUGAGCCAAAGGCAGAGGCUUAACCCACUGAGCCACCCAGGCGCUUGGAAGGGGAGUCCUAAUCCCCGGGGAUGACUCGCCAUCGGAGACGGCACCGACUCGCCUCUGUGUGGUGAACCUUAGGUAACAACAACGCAAAGUCGGCGGAGACCGAGGGAGGCCUGAGAGUUUACUCAGAACAGCAUUAACCUGGAGGCUCUCCAUCCAGUCAACACACGCAAGAGACUAUGGGAACUCCCUUGUCCGUACUCAGCUAAAAUGACAGCAGUUCAUACACAAGAUUAUUUUGUUGUGAGGAGAGUAUAACAUCAACGGCGCUAACAACAGGAUUCAGUGUUAUGAAAACUGUGAUGUGACCCUGUCCUUUUCACGAAUGAUCCAGAAAAUGUCAACACUCCCUAGAAUGAAGGCCUGCCCGCACAAUCCAAUGAGGAGAGAAAAAACACACCAACAAAAAAGGUUCCCCACGUUUGUCAUUUUAUGAAAAAGUCUGCCUACAGAUCUCGUGAAGCAAGCUGAGUUUCUUCUGGGAGACAAACACAGCGGGGACCCUUCUCUUCCACCCGCCCUUUAAGGAGGCUGGUGUAUAAACUACAGCCCUGGGUAAUGAGACAAGAUUUUAAAGCACUUAAAGAAAACACAAACAUCCUACCGUGCGAGGAUGACACGCGACGCAACAUACACACGGCUCUGACCUCAGGGGAGCGGUCGGCGCACAGCGCUGCUGAGAGGUGACCUGAUCAGCAUUUGGGGUAAACAGUCUCAGGACUUUGAACUUCCUUCAUCCAUCGUCCCCGUCUGUACUCGACCAACUCUGUCUACUCUUCGCGCAGGAGGCAAUUCAUGACAAGGCUCUUGACGACAAACAAGCUUUCUGGUUUGGGCUCAGCUUUACUAUUUCAUAAACUUACUUACAAAAACCCAUGUGGGGGGGCGCCUGGGUGGCUCAUGGGUUAAGCCUCUGCCUUUGGCUUGGGUCAUGAUCUGGGGUCCUGAGAUCGAGCCCCAAAUCAGGCUCUCUUUUCAGCGGGGAGCCUGCUUCCCCCUGUCUCUCUGCCUGCCUCUCUGCCUACUCGUGAUUUCUCUUGCUUUCUCUCUUUCUCUCUGUCAAAUAAAUAAAUAAAUAAAAUCUUAAAAAAACAAAACAAAACACAACCUAUGUGGGUUCCUUUAGAAAACGCCCAUAGGUACGAGAGUUGAUUUCUUCUGUCUUUUUCAUUCCCCUCACUUCCUGUCCUAACCCUAACAUCUUCCCUUUGGGAUUAUGGGUAUGCCAUGAGACACGAAAUAUUUUCCAAUUUACUAGAAUCGCCUGACACUCAAAAUUUACCUGCCAUUUACCAUUUUGGACAUUACAAAGUAAGAUGACCCAGCAAAGGGAUUUCAACACCACGUUCUAUUUCCUUUCCUUAGAGCGGGCGUUUCACUACCUGUAUUUCUCUGUAACUCCAAGAAAAACCUUUCUCUCUAUUUACUUCAGAAAACUAUAAAAAGGGCAAUAUGUUCUCUGGUAUCCGUUUCGCAGACAGAGUGGGAAACACUUAGUAAAAAGAAUAUAUUUUAGUUUUCUGAGUAAGACACUUCUCACCCUUGGCCUAGAAAUCCCAGCGCGCUCUGUCGUAUUUUGAAGGAUAAAAUGAAUUAGAUUUACUGUAAUCCCUUUGAGAAAUAGUAAUUUGCUUCUAUUAGUUCACUGAGUCAAUCAGAGGACACUCAUGGAAAAGCACAGAAAAGAUUCUUCCACGUUUUGUGUUUCAAAACUAAAAUAAAAGCUCAGUGUUUAAACUGGAUACUGCAGUCCUUGAAAAUGUCUUGCGGUCAUCUUAUGUUGAAUUAGUGGAUUACAACCUCACAGUUUGUGCUGCCUUCAUGGUUCUCUUGUAUUCAUCAGACUCAGUGACA